rnacentral:rRNA from 1 species
GGGCCCGCACAAGCGGUGGAGCAUGUGGUUUAAUUCGAUGAUACGCGAGGAACCUUACCAGGGCUUAAAUGUAGUGGGACAGGUCUAGAGAUAGACCCUUCUUCGGACUCAUUACAAGGUGCUGCAUGGUUGUCGUCAGCUCGUGCCGUGAGGUGUCAGGUUAAGUCCUAUAACGAGCGCAACCCCUAUCGUUAGUUGCCAGCGGGUAAUGCCGGGAACUCUAGCGAAACUGCCGGUGCAAACCGUGAGGAAGGUGGGGACGACGUCAAAUCAUCACGGCCCUUACGUCCUGGCCACACACGUGCUACAAUGGUAGGUACAGAGGGAAGCCACCCCGCGAGGGGGAG